UAAUACGUAGGAUGCUAGCGUUGUCCGGAUUUACUGGGCGUAAAGCGCGCGCAGGCGGCACCCCAAGUACCCUGUGAAAUCCACCUGCUCAACGGGUGGGGUGCAGGGUAGACUGAGGAGCUAGAGAGAGGUAGAGGGGGGUAGAAUUGCUGGUGUAGCGGUGAAAUGCGUAGAGAUCAGCAGGAAUACCCGUGGCGAAGGCGGCCCCCUGGGCCUCUUCUGACGCCGAGGCGCGAAGGCUGGGGGAGCGAACGGGAUUAGAUACCCCGGUAGUCCCAGCAGUAAACGAUGACCACUAGGUGUGGGGGGUGUUGACCCCCUCCGUGCCGUAGCUAACGCAUUAAGUGGUCCGCCUGGGGAGUACGGUCGCAAGACUA
rnacentral:rRNA from 1 species